ACAGAUGCGCAGCCUUAGUUGCUGCUGGGUUUAUUGUUAUUUUGGGCCAUCACAGCUUGGCUGAAUCGGACCCUGGCAAACAGCUGCACUCAGCCCUGAAAGGGCGCUCUUAACACAGCUAAGCUGAGCUCCUCAGCCUUCGCCUGCAUCUUCACUAUCAGAUUUGGCCCUUGCAUGAAUUCACAAUGAGGAGCUUCUUUUGUCUGCUCUUCCUUCCAGGUAUCUUGGGUAAGGAAAAUAUAUUGACUAUUGCACCGAAUAAUCUGGCUGCGUGGGAAGGAUCCUGUAUUCUGAUUCCAUGCAAGAUCAGCCUAACAUAUAACAGGCUUCGGGUUGACAACUUCUCCCUGAUUUGGUAUUUUGACCCUGAGUAUGAAGACACUCUGAAAGAUUAUACUGGUAUCAUGUUAUACAAUGGCUCUUCGACCUCAGAGAACUACCUGACUCCAACAAGUCCCCACUUUCUGGAUCGGGUGAGGUUAGUUGGGAAUUUAAACAGCAGAAACUGCAGCCUGAAGAUCUCUCAUCUCCAGAAAAAUGACAGUGGCACAUAUGGAGCAAGACUU